CGGGACGUGGCGCAGCCCGGUAGCGCACACGCUUGGGGUGCGUGGGGUCGCGAGUUCAAAUCUCGCCGUCCCGA
rfam:Omnitrophica bacterium RIFCSPHIGHO2_02_FTLL_46_11 rifcsphigho2_02_scaffold_6366, whole genome shotgun sequence.